CCGUUGUACAGUAGUCUGCACAUUGGUUUUGCACACUAGGGACCAAGAAGCCCUCGGGGACACUGCUGAGAAAAGACUGCCGAAGGGAAGACCAGCGGGUUGCAUGCAUCAUUCCUUUAAUUGAGCAGAGUUAACUGGAUCAAAUUAUUUAUGGGAGAGAGAGGAAAAGUUAUAAAGAAUUAUAGUAAUUUUUAAUUUCCACCAAUAUACUCUUUGCUGAUUGUAUCUGUCUAUGAGCAAAGGAAACCUGAAGGAACCAAGGGCCUGGCUGGACAGAGUUGUCAUGU
rnacentral:lncRNA from 1 species